AGAUGGUGUCUAUAGUAACAGUGGAUAAUAGUCUCUGGGAAGGCAGCGUGGCUGUGGGAUAGUAGGGAGUUAAGGUGCCUAUAGUAGAUCCUCAGGUUGUGUUUAUAAAAAAACUUAUUUUUCAGUAUUCUUGAAAAGAAAACCAAGAAUAUAGGCUUUACCCAAAUUUACUUCCACAGUCACUUUCCAUGUGGACACAUGACACAAUUCCUAUGUUUUAUCAUCAGUUAUAUAAAGAGACAGGUUUCCCUUCUCUCCUGACAAAUUGUGCCUGUAAAUUAUCUUCCUUUCUGGUCAAUGUUCUUUCUGGUUUUUAAAUUUCAUUUAAAACUGCAUCGAAAUAGACCAAUAGUGUAUUGCAAUGUGUGCAAGUGACACAGGGCUAUGUACGUUGCCAUUUUGGAACAGAAUUUGACCUGGUUGUAUCUCCAAGGUUCAAUGUCAAUAGGUGCAACAGGUAGAUCCACCAAAACAUGGAGAAGCAGCAUUAAUCCCCCACACUUUUCUUUUUUGGGGAAUAUUUGCGCACAUGUUAGGCACAGCCCAAACAUUAUGGUUUUAAGUGCAGUCCAGAUGAGUUUGACUCCAGGAGGCAAUGUAGAUUCUCCAGCAAGUGGUUCUCCGCAAUGUCCUUUCAUCUCUUUCAGUCUUCAGGGUGUCCUUUCAAUUCUCCGAGCAUUUUUGUCUCUUCCAAUAACUUGGGGCUCCUAAUCAAGCCUUCAUAUGUAUUUUUGGGCUUCAAUAGCAAAGUAAGUUUGAUUUGGUCAAGGAUCCACUUGUUUGUUCUCUUUGCCACCGAGUCUUCUAAAGUCAUCUCCACACUCAACUUUUAAAGGCAACAAUACUUUUCCUGUUCUGCUUCUUCAUUGAACAUUCAUAUCUGUAUAACGUCAUGGAACGUAUCUCAGCCUGGACAUUUCUGCUCUAUGGUCGGGUAGUUGAAGACCGUUUCUAGGCAAUUUGUCCUGGUUCUACCUGGGCUUUGAAUGCUGCAUCCAUUGUUAUUAAUGAUUGAUUGAAGGAGACAAAACCUCCUUAUGACUUCUUUUUCUUCACCAUCUACUCUAAACCCAGCUGUCCUUCCAGCUGUCACAACCUUUGUCUGAUUUAUCUGCAGUCCCAUCUUUUCUCUUGGUUCAUUAUAAGAGUCGGAAGAGCUUCUUCAUUUGCAGCAAUGUGUCAGGUGUCUCUCAGGUAUAGCCAAGAAGAAGAAAAUCUAGUUCUGCAGAUACUGCCGUAUAUAUAGUAAGGGUUUGAUGGUUGUGUUGAGCACCUUGAGUUGUGGUCACCAUACGUUUUGUUGUGAUGUUAAAGGCAGGGCCUCCUUCUACACUGUUCCCCGGGUGAGCAAGAAUUUGAAAUGGUUAGUAAGCUUUGACCCAUCUCUUGUUGGGCAUGACUCGUCAAUGGCUUCUGAGAGUUCCACGCGGGUAAAACAGAUGAUCGGGUCUUCAUUUAAAGCUCAACAGAGAUGCACCAAUCUAGGGAUUCAAAAAUAAGGGUAAUGAUUCAUGAUUUACUUUUCAAGGCUUUAGGUCUCCUUUAAGGAAAAGCAAAGAAUGGUGCUGUUUUAGUCAUGGAUGAGAGAAGACAUACAGUAUUGGAGAGGAUAUGGCUGAUCCCUGUCAUUUUGCUAGGAAAACGCCGACUGCUCUGAAUGGGGCCUUCAUAAUUUAGAGGAGCAGCCUAUCCAAUAAGUGCUUUUUAUGGCGGAUCAAGAGAUAAACACAGAAAAGAAUGUAAAGGGAAAGCGACAGACAGUCAUAUGAUUAUGUUUUUGUAUCGGUCUACUAGGAAAUUUCUCCCCGCAGGCGCGUCCCCAUCUCCCUCAACAUUUCCUAUUGUGCGACGCUCCAGCAACUUCCUAUUACUGAGAGAAGAUGAUGUAAAAUCAUUGUGACAUUUUUUUUCUAAGAGUGAAUUUGUAGCUUUUUCUUCCACCCCCCCCCCCCAACAACUGCGAUACGGGGGGAUAAAAACGUAUUACUGUAAUAUUCAAGGGCAGCCCUCUAAUUAGUGGCUUAAUUAUACAUAAUUCAUUAGCAAACAUUUUAUGCCUUAAUCAUUUUGUGGGGAUUUUUUAUUUGGUUCUGUUAUUGCGCAGUUUUUCAAGGAGGAACAAAGCCGGCCCACAUUGUUUUAAAUCAUUAACUUUGUAACAUUUUUAGCAAUAUUAUUAAUAAGGUAAUAAUCAAGCACCAACAUAUUCAGUAGCGCUGUACAAUAGAAAGGUGUAUACAUGCAAAAAUUGAUACAGGAGGUAAAGAGAGCCCUAGUCCAUAGAGCUUAUGAUCUAAAAGAUGCUGGGGGUCUGAAUUAUUAGCCCACUGGGUGGUGGACCCUGCUAACAAGUAAAACAGGGUCCUAUUGGAAAAAAACAUGGAUGAACUGCCAGGCCCCCGAUUUGAGCCGGUAAGUCCCAAAUUCUAACAAAGUCUGGUAAGUCCCAAAUUCUAACAAGGUCCCUCCCAUGAUCUAUCCAAAACCCCACCCACUUCUCUAUAAACCUCAUCUCUUUAUACAACCCACAAAUCGCAAUUUUAAUUCUCGAAGUCUCCCUUUGCCUCCUCAGUGUUCCGAUUCCACCUAUUUCUUUACAGACUCAAUGUCACUCCCCUGUAAGCUGCCAUUAGAGUGUUCUAGUUCCACCCACUGCUUGAGCCACAGACUCCCUGUCCCUCCCCUUUAAGCUGCCAUCAGAUUGUUCUAGUUCCUCCACUGCUUGAGUCACAGACUCCCUGCCCCUCCCCUAUAAGCUUCAAUCCGAGUGUUCCAGUCCCAUCCACUGCUUGAAUUUCAGACUUGCUGUCCCUCCCCUUGUAGUGCUCCAAGUUUUUCUUGCAGUAAACAAAACUUUGGUCCAUUAGUUUCACUCCCAAAACAACUCAUACACUGAAGUGGGAGUAUAAAUGAAAUAUUGGGCGGGAUCACCAGUUUGUUCUGAUAGGUCCCUAAUGUACAGGUGGAGUUGGCCUGUUUAGGUUGUGGAGUUCGAUUGGUUCAGGAUACCCAAGAAAUAAGCUUGCACAGGACUGCUCAAGGAGAAUCUCACAGAAGACUUUGAAGUGUCUGGACAAGUAAUCUUGGGUGGAAGGUGGCUAGAACCAGAGGCCCAGAGAUUCUAGUUUCGUGCAAAGACUGCAGCUCUUCAGGAACUUCUGUAAACUUCACCUCCAAAACAAAGUAUUAGGUGUUUAACGGUUUUAAUUCACUAUAGUAGACUUAGCAUUGUGUGUAUCGUUUAGGAUUGUCAAUAGCCAUUUUCUUUAGUAAAGUAUUACAUGUUAUAAGCCAUAGUGUGUGUGUUUAUUUCCUUGAAAUUGACUGCAAUUUCUGAACUUAAUAGUGCCCUUAGCACUACACCCCUAUCAGUUGCCGCAAAGUGUUCUAGUCCCACCCACUGCUUGAGACACAGACUUCCUGUCCCUCCCACUGUAAGUUUUCAGAACGCACGUCAUAGGCUGCUGCUUGAAUGGAAGACUCCCAGUAGGGUGCAAUAAACAGUCACAUGAUGGAAGUAAGUCCAUUUUGAAGAACCAAUCUGGUGCUCUAGGGCAGGGGUCCCUAAACUUUUUUUUACCAGUGAGCCACAUUUAAGUGUAAAAUAAUUUUGGAGAGCAACAUAAGUAUGCAAAAAGUGCCUUGUGUGCCAAAUAAUGGCUGUGAUUUGGGUAUUGGCAGCUCCUAUGUGGACAUGAAGCCAACAGGAGGCUCUGUUUGGCAGUAGACAUUGUUUUUAUGCAACAAACCUUGCCUAUGAGGCAAGAAUUAAAAAAUAAGUACCUGCUUGGAGGCCACUGGGAGCAACAUCCAAGGGGUUGGAGAGCAACACGUUGCUCACAAACCACUGGUCGGGAAUCGCUGCUGUAGGAUAAAGUGAAGAACGUCAUUCAUUGAUGCCUUGUAUGAUCAUAACUUCAUACUCGUAUUCCACAUUUUAGAUAUUAUAUUAUUAUCUCCUGAUUAUUUUAAGCAGUACACUAUCUCCCUGCCAUGCUUUAUACUUCAGUGUGGAAACCUAGAGUGCAGAAAAAUGGAAAUGGUGGAGUUAAGACAUAGGCAUCAAAGCCCAUCCAAAGAGGUACAAUAUGGGUCAUUACUUUUACUUUAUCACAAGUUCAAUGCGGCUUUUGGAAAUGCAGGGCUUCAGCAGCCACAAUGUAAUAAAGACGCAGUUUCGUGUAGUGAGUUAAUUAGACGUUCUGUAAAAUCCUUCAAUCCUUCCGUCCGUAGGGGCAGGUCCACUAGCCGCUGACUAGGCUCUAUCUCAGAACGUCUGCCAGGGAAGAUCAAAAUAAGGAAUGAAUACUUUUAUCCAGUAGAACAGUUGCUUCCACGUCUCACCGGACCAGGUCAUAAAAUCAGGCUUGUCUCGGUGAAUUAUGAACACGGUCCUUUUUAAAGAUACACAGGGAACUUAAAGCUUUGCCUUAGCUCCAUCGCUGGUUACAAAACUCCUACAAACUUUCUCAAAUUGAGUUUUCCUUUCUAUUGGAAAAUGUUUCCUUGGUGUAAGGAACUAGAUGGAUGAGGAGUCAGAACAAUAUGAAAUUUAUGGAUCACUUAAAUGUUUUUAAGGAAAAAAUGUGCAUCUUUUUUAUCUUCAGUUUUGGAGGUUUGACAUUUUCCAAUAUGUUCUCUGUAUGAAUAUCAUUUUCACGUUUGUUAUCUUGUUCAACUUAAGUUCCAAAUUUUUAUAGACACAAAUUAUAGAUUGCAAUGUGAGGGAGGAUGAACCCUCAGUGACUGUGGGAGAACGAGUGCUGGCUAUACUGGUUAUACUUUUGGCUAUAGUAGCUAAAGAAAGCCCAAAGUGACUGAGAAUAAAGUAAGAACGUUGGGUUUGGAAAAGAUAAAAUGAUGAAGGCCUAUUUGCUCAAUAUGUUGUUUACAAUUGCUAGAAAAGAGCUUUCAGUGUGCUAGAGAGUGAAAAAUGUUGAGUUGCGUGGUGGAAGAUACAAAGAUGAAGGCCCAGUUGCUCAAUAUUUAGGCUACAGUAGCUAAGAUCAUUAAAUGUAGGGAAUGAGAGAUUAUUGGGUUCUUUGGUUGAAGAUACAAUGAGGAUCCAGUUGCCCAAAAGUUUGCUUCCAUAGCUAGAGAAAGAACCAUCAAUGAUUGAGAAAAAGGGAAGAUUGUUGGGUUGUUUGGUAGAAUAUACAAUAAUGGAGACCCAGCUACCCAAUAUUAUGGCUACAAUAACUAGAGAAAGAUUCCUCAGUGCUUGGUUUUUGUGCUUUUCAAUGUUUAUUUUUUCAAUUUGUCCGUUAUUAUGGUUAUGGUAACAUUAUUUUCAGGUUGGGGAAAGACCAACCUCAGCUUUUUGUAAGAGACAACUUAAGACCUUGACAAAUUCAUUUUACUCCUCUAGGAUCAACUUAUACCUUUAUUAUCUUAAAGGUUCUUAAAUGUAUCUCCUGUAUCAGCCAUCACUUAGUGCUUGUUUCUUUGUUUGAAGAUACAAGAUACAGUUGCCCAAUAUUUUGGCUUCCAUAGCUAGAGAAAGAACAAUAAGUGACUGAAAAGAGGGAAGAUUGCUCGCUUGUUUGGUUGAAAAUACAUUGAUGAAGACCUUGUUGUCCAAUAUUUUGGCUACAAUACCUAGAGAAAGAGCCCCCAGUAUCUGAAGGGAUGGUGAGAGAUUGUUGGGUUCUUUGGUUGACGAUAUAAUGAAUUUCCAGUUGCCAUUAAUAUGGCUUCCAUAGGUAGAGGAAGAACCCUUAAUAACUGAGAAAAAGCAAAGGUUGUUUGGUUGAAGAUACAAUUAUGAAGGCCUAGUUGUCCAAUAUUUUGGCUACAAUAGCAAUAAAAAAGCCAUCAGUGUGUGUGAAAGAGGGAAAUUGUUGGGUUUUGUGGUAAAAGAUACAAAGAUGAAGGCCCAGUUGCUCAAUAUUUUGACUACAGUCGCUACAGACAGACCAGUAACUUUAGGGAAGGGGAGAGAUUGUUGGGUUCUUUGGUUGGAGAUACAAUGAAGAUGGAGUUGCCCAAUAUUUUGGCUUCCAUAGCUAGAGAAAGAACCCUUAGUGACUGAAAAAGAGAGAAGAUUGUUGGGUUGUUUGGCAGAAUAUACAAUAAUGAAGACCCAGCUACCCAAUCUUAUGGUUACAAUAGCUAGAGAAAGAUUCCUCAGUGCUUGGUUUUUGUGCUUUUCAAUGUUUAUUUUUUCAAUUUGUCCGUUAUUAUGGUUAUGGUAACAUUAUUUUCAGGUUGGGGAAAGACCAACCUCAGCUUUUUGUAAGAGACGACUUAAGACCUUGACAAAUUCAUUUUACUCCUCUAGGAUCAACUUAUACCUUUAUUAUCUUAAAGGUUCUUAAAUGUAUCUCCUGUAUCAGCCAUCACAGCUUUAAUAUUUAGCUGAAAAGGACAACUUGUAUUUUAUGACACUUAUAUGUCCUUUCCCGCAUUCACAAGACACAAAUAUGUACUUAUGUGACUCUGAAAAUAAACUGUUCCCUUCAGCAUGUAUUGACCUUGGCAGUACUGGCCCAAAUUAAUCAUAUGCCUUCACAUACACCUUUUUUCUGUUCUGUAAACAAGCUCAAUAUAUCAAGCCUUGCUUUAUAACUCAUUCUGUAUCCCUUUAAUUAUUUAGUUGCCCUUUGGAGAACACCUUCAAGAGAAAAAUAUCCUUUUUUAUGAAUACAGGUGUAUCAAAUAUAUCAUUUUACUAUCAGAGGCAGAAUGGAGAGAUCACCAAGACCAGUAAUGGUCAUCUGUGAAAGUAACAUAUGGGGUCAACUCAUGGAUAGAUGAACUUACAAUAUGUAGGGCAACCUAGGAGAUGAACUGAACUAUGUAGCUAGUUGGUUUACACUGUAUGUCAAUGAUAUCGAGUUGGUAUCUAGUAGAGUUAAGUCAAAAGCUACUGGACUUGGGAGUUAGGAAUUUUUCACCACUCAUUCAACCAGCUUCUUCAGUUGAAUUGACUUAACUCUACUAGAUACUCUAUAUCAUGACCUGGAUGAACCUUCAUAGAGUUGACUAAUGUCUCAACGUAUAGCCUUGCCAUCAUUUCAGUCAAUUGUGGCAUACCCCAGCUACCUCCAUUCCAAGUUGAGUCUCACAACUGCCUUCUUACCUCUUCAGGCACAUUUUUUUGGGGGGUAAGAAGAGGUCCCAGGUUUUCUAGAGUACUACUUUACUCUCAUACACUAUUGUCUCUUAAAAAAGGAACCACAUAUAACUAUCCCUUAUUGGUGGCUUUUGACUGUCCUGCAGAAAUGCUGCAUUGUUUACCCCAUUCAUGAUUACCAAUACAUCAAGAGUCUUCUCUAGCCAUGCUAGGGUUGUAAAUGCUACUCGCCAAGCUUUGAAUCCAAUGUAAGAUGAAGAUACCCAAGCUUAGAAUCCAGUCUAAGAUGAAGAUACAGUUUUUGGGCUACUUACUUAUAUCCCAUUCCAUGUAUCUCCUCAUUGGCCACAGUCUCUACAGGAAUGAAUUAGAUAGGACGUCCCUAACUGCCCUGUUCCCAUCCUCUGACAUUCCAGACACUGAGAAUUCACAAGGUUUUAAAAGUUGCUACAGAAUGAGGUCAAAACUGAUAUGACUUAAGGACACCUGAAAUGAUACGUGACCCUUGUAUCACACACCAUGCAAAGAACUGAAUUUCAGAAGACAACAAGUGCUUCAGGACAGGUUCUGCAAGCAGGAGUUAUGAUAUCGAGGAGACAGCAUUUCCACAUUGCCAGGAUCAUUAUAUUUAUUGCAUCCAAGCCGAACAGCCAAAGGCAGCUGACUAAGAAGAAGCUGCCCGGCUCCCCCACGCUGAUUCCCUUCCACACUUCUCCCAGCUGGAAGUUUCAUAUCAUCGGCCUGUCCAAUUGAUUCUGUAAGGCAAUUAAAGGGAGCGUGUGGGGUGAGACGGUGUAGAGAAACAAUUACAGGUUGGUUUUAUGCUUGCCAUUCACUAUUAGGAGGUCAGACAUGACAGAUUCCGAAUAAACACCAAACAACUUCGGCAGGAAUGUUGGAGAUGGCCCAGCUGAUACCUUCAGUGGCUCUUCUGUUGAGGGAUUAUAGUCUCUCCAUUUUCAUUUGUUCAGGCUUUGUUUCAAUUAAAGGCAGGAGAAGCGAUGGAAAGCAGUUCAGUGGCUGGCAGAAAACGAAUGCAACUGUAAUAGUGUUCCUUUACAUUGUUACUGAGGUUGAAUAAAAGAUACAAGUGCCUCCAAGUUAAGCCUUUGAGAUAGAGGUUGAUGAUGGCGUCUAUUGAAGGAAACAAAAAUUCUUAUUAAUUUUGCUUCUAGAGUUGAAGAUAAUGGAGAAAAAAUGACCAAUGGAUUUAAAGAAAAAUAAAUGUUACCCUGACGUUGCACAAAGGAGGAUUUAUUACACGUCUCAGUGGGACGACAGGUGAUAAAAGAGGGAAAAAGAGCGUCAUUAAUCAUGAAUGAGAUCCACAGCGUGGAAUUGCGUCUGUGAGUCCAGCAAAAAAAAAAGAACUAUGCUCCUCGCAGACGUUUUCUGCCCACUGAAUUAUUAAUAAGCACCAAAAGAAAAGCGAGAGGCUUCUUAUUUCUGCAUUGAAGGGUCCAGGUUGGUGUCAGCGAAUAAUGUAUCAAUGUUUGUAAAGAGAAGGUGGCAGCAUAAUGAAUAAUAAAUUUCCUUUUAUUACUGA